rnacentral:rRNA from 1 species
UCCAGACUCCUACGGGAGGCAGCAGUGAGGAAUAUUGGUCAAUGGCCGAGAGGCUGAACCAGCCAAGUCGCGUGAGGGAUGACGGCCCUACGGGUUGUAAACCUCUUUUGUCGGGGAGCAAAGAGAGUCACGUGUGACUCAUCGAGAGUACCCGAAGAAAAAGCAUCGGCUAACUCCGUGCCAGCAGCCGCGGUAAUACGGAGGAUGCGAGCGUUAUCCGGAUUUAUUGGGUUUAAAGGGUGCGUAGGCGGGCUUUUAAGUCAGCGGUAAAAAUUCGGGGCUCAACCCCGUCCGGCCGUUGAAACUGGGGGCCUUGAGUGGGCGAGAAGAAGGCGGAAUGCGUGGUGUAGCGGUGAAAUGCAUAGAUAUCACGCAGAACCCCGAUUGCGAAGGCAGCCUUCCGGCGCCCUACUGACGCUCAUGCACGAAAGUGUGGGUAUCGAACAGGAUUAGAUACCCCGGUAC